GAACCGAGCGUUAUCCGGAUUUAUUGGGUUUAAAGGGAGCGUAGAUGGAUGUUUAAGUCAGUUGUGAAAGUUUGCGGCUCAACCGUAAAAUUGCAGUUGAUACUGGAUAUCUUGAGUGCAGUUGAGGCAGGCGGAAUUCGUGGUGUAGCGGUGAAAUGCUUAGAUAUCACGAAGAACUCCGAUUGCGAAGGCAGCCUGCUAAGCUGCAACUGACAUUGAGGCUCGAAAGUGUGGGUAUCAAACAGGAUUAGAUACCCUGGUAGUCCACACGGUAAACGAUGAAUACUCGCUGUUUGCGAUAUACAGCAAGCGGCCAAGCGAAAGCGUUAAGUAUUCCACCUGGGGAGUACGCCGGCAACGGUGAAACUCAAAGGAAUUGACGGGGGCCCGCACAAGCGGAGGAACAUGUGGUUUAAUUCGAUGAUACGCGAGGAACCUUACCCGGGCUUAAAUUGCAGUGGAAUGAUGUGGAAACAUGUCAGUGAGCAAUCACCGCUGUGAAGGUGCUGCAUGGUUGUCGUCAGCUCGUGCCGUGAGGUGUCGGCUUAAGUGCCAUAACGAGCGCAACCCUUAUCUUCAGUUACUAACAGGUUAUGCUGAGGACUCUGGAGAGACUGCCGUCGUAAGAUGUGAGGAAGGUGGGGAUGACGUCAAAUCAGCACGGCCCUUACGUCCGGGGCUACACACGUGUUACAAUGGGGGGUACAGAAGGCAGCUAGCGGGUGACCGUAUGCUAAUCCCAAAAGCCUCUCUCAGUUCGGAUCGAAGUCUGCAACCCGACUUCGUGAAGCUGGAUUCGCUAGUAAUCGCGCAUCAGCCACGGCGCGGUGAAUACGUUCCCGGGCCUUGCACACACCGCCCGU
rnacentral:rRNA from 1 species